UCACCUUCUUCCCCAAUAAUUAAUAUCUCCCUACAGUUUAUCCAUCAAAAGAAGUGUAGCGUACAUUAGCAAAACACCCAUUUCCCAUGAACAUUGAAGAUCCUUCCAAGUUCCAACCCCUUCCUUGUAAACAAUCGCCAAAAUCCGUCUUCUAUAUCACCCAAUCUUCAUUCUCACCACAAUUUUCAUCAUCACAACUUAUAAGGAGUUAAUUAUAUACACCAAAAUACAAUAAUAAGAGGAAACUACAAUUUGUCAUAGUGUGGUUUGGGUCAGUUUUCACUUUGCCUCCUUAAUUCAAAAACUUUUUAUACUGCGCCAUGAAACUUGUAUUUCCAUACAAUUAGUCACCUUGUGAUUUCGAAAAGGGAAUAUUAUGUUAACUAGGUGUGACGUCGUAAGAGUAAUACCGUCUUUUCACACCCACUCCACACUAAAAAAACCCUAAGCCUCCUCCAACAAAACACACUCACACUUAGUCUCCCCAACUUGCCCUCCAAGAUAAAGUAGCCGGCUCUUCAUCUCCGAUCUCCAAUUUCUCCGACCAAACCUUCACCGAUCAUCAGUCGCUAUCAAUGCCUUACGUUGCGUACCUCUUCGCUUGUCGUUUUUGUCUACUAAGGCAUAAUAUGGUUGAAGAUGAUUUGGAUGAAAGUUGGAGAAGAAGAAGAGAAAGAUAGGUUAUAUUGGCAUUGGUGAUAGAAUAUCUAAAAGUGAAGAAGAGAGUUUGAAUGAAGAAUCAUCACAUGAGUAUGAAACUGACCCGGUGAUUAUAACAUAUCACCGGUAAUCGAGACGCGAGGUCAGGCGGUCGGGAUAAUGUUCGUAGCUUGUUAUCUCUAGAGACCGGCCUAUUUGAUUGGAUGGGUUAUAUUAGGGCUUCUAUGUGUUUGAUUAGGAAUUAAUAUUGUGUGUUUAAUUAGAUUUGUGUGAUAUUAGAAUUAGGUGUGUUUAAUGUUAUAAUUAGGUUUCUGUAAUAGGUUGAUUAGGUUUAUGUAAGUUUUAUGUAAUUUGUUUUAUAUAUAUUUAUGUAUAAUUUUGUUAGGUAU
rnacentral:lncRNA from 1 species